UUCGCAAUGCCCGAAAGGGUGACGAAGCGACGCCGCGUGUGGGAAGAAGGCCUUCGGGUUGUAAACCACUGUUGGGAGUUAGGAAGUGUGGAGGUGUUAAUAGCGCUUUCACUUGACUAAAGCUCCAGAGGAAGCCACGGCUAACUCUGUGCCAGCAGCCGCGGUAAUACAGAGGCGGCAAGCGUUGUUCGAAAUUAUUGGGCGUAAAGAGCACGUAGGCGGCUCUGCAAGUCAGCUGUGAAAGCCUUCUGCUUAACGGAAGAACGGCAGUUGAAACUACAGGGCUUGAGUGCGGGAGGGGAGAGUGGAACUUCUGGUGGAGCGGUGAAAUGCGUAGAUAUCAGAAGGAACGCCGGCGGCGAAAGCGGCUCUCUGGUCCGUAACUGACGCUGAGUGUGCGAAAGCUAGGGGAGUAAACGGGAUUAGAUACCCCGGUAGUCCUAGCCGUAAACGAUGGGCACUAAGUAGAGGGGUUUU
rnacentral:rRNA from 1 species